CAAACAGCUACAACUAUGGCUCACUUGUUUUAAAAUGUGCGAAUUUAGCAUGAUUACAGCCUGUCGUUGUCUCAACAGAUCAGGCAAGAUUUUGUCCAUGCACUCUUCCUGAAGCACUGAGCCUAUUCCUUAUUCAGCCCAUGAAAACAGCUUGGGAGCCUCUGCUGUGAGCGAGUGACGCAUGAUUGGGUGGUUGUACAGAAAUCUGUAGUGGUCAUGUGACCAAUGAGUUUAGAGGUCAACAUGGAUCACAAUGGCUACCAAUCAGGGCUAGUACUAUUACCUUGAUCCAGAGAGAAAAUUAGCUGAAAUUCAUCGGCAGUAAAGAACAUGUGGAGAGGCAGCUUCUAGCCCGGUCCCAAACAACUGGAAUAUUUCCCAUGACUGUCAGGAGAAGGAGCGAAGGCAAACAGAGGACAGAGUCAUGGAAUGCUUGAGACUGUCUUAUCUGAGAGAAAAAAGGAAUUCAUGCAAAACCAGCAAGAUAUCCUGCUGCAAAUGAAAAACCUGAAUGAAGAGAGGCUGAGACUUUGGCAAGCCAGAGAGAGGAUUAAGGAGAAUCGAGCCUUCAGUAAUGGUUAUUCCCCCUUACCUUCUCCAGUUUACAGUCUGAAUGGAGCUGAGCAUGGAUUUCGUGACGAUGAGACGUUUUCCUUCCAUGAGACAGGCUCCUCACCUCGUGAAAUGGAGUCGUUCAUUUCUGAACGGAAAAGGAAGUUACCUCUUGAAGCUCGUGCUUUUUUCUC